rnacentral:lncRNA from 1 species
UGAUUAUUGAGCUAUGGACUGGCUGUAGCCUAGACAGUCUUCCAGCCUGGACGGAGGCCUCCUGAGCAACUCAGAGUGAAUGUGUUUUCAGAGUUAAGUACCAGGUCAUUGGGAGGUCUCUACUUUGAAAGUGGGGAAACUGAGUCUCAAGCUCGGGGACAUCAAUAGUCAGGAAGCUCCAAUCCACAGAGAGAAGCUGGCUUCUGCCCGAGUUCCAUACUCCUCUAGGCUUCUCCGUCGGCCACAUGGACUGCACCAGGAGGUCUGUGUCCCUUGUUGACCCCAAAGCCACCUCCUUGUUCCUUGUGGUACCCACCAGGGCACAAGGAUAGCUUCCCCAGGGAAGGUUACAGAUGUGUGUCUCUCAACCAAGGGCAGAGCCCAGAACAACAGACAGACAAACAGAUGGACGGACGGGAGGCUCCUGCUCCUUGUCACAGUCAAGUGCAUCAUCUCUGUCUGAGCCUGCCACC